CUCGCUCAUGACAUAGACCUAGCCGCAUCUCCUCCUCGCCGCCAUCUCCUCGUCGCCUCCCAGCUCACAGUCGGCCUCCACCCCCUCCCUCCCCUCCCUCCCCCACCUUCCCCCUUUAGCACGCGCACACCGACGCGCUCCUCUCGCCAAUUUUCUACGCGCUCGUCUCUCCCUCUCCCUCGCGCUGUAGGCCACCUACGGCGGCCGAUUCUGGCGACUUCUGACAGCAUUCGACGGCGUCCAGCACACCCACAUGACCCCCUCGCUCCGCUCCUCCAUCUCCUCCGACCAGAUCCGACGCGCGCGGCCUCCUGCAGCCAUGCACGACCCUCCUCGACGGCUAGGGUUUCGGCCACCACGUCACCGGCGUGGGUCCGACGUUGCUCCGGUGACUCAGAUCCAGCACGCCGCCGUCGCUUGCGCACCGGACGCCAUGGACGGGAAGGCUGCUACCUCCCCUGCGCCGACGCCAUGGAGGACGCAGCUCCAUCACUGCCCCGACGCCAUCCAGGAGAACCUCAUGGACGCUGCUUAACUCAACAUGAAUGAAACUGAACCUGGGGUUUCUCUUUCGAUUGCUACAUGUGUGACUGCAGGAGAUCAACUUCCUUCUCAACCGAUGGGUAAGCCUCCUGGUCCACUCAAGUUCUGAACCAAAUAAGAAAAAUUAUCAAUCUUGUUCGCUGCAUAUGCAAUGAUGGUUGAUGAUUCAGUUUUUCACUUGUGUAAUCUUUGUUUACUCUGCUAAAGGGCUGCCCUAGUUAGUUUGUUUUGAUAGGGUCCUUACUGCAUAUGCUGCUGGAAUCUAAUUUGACCUGUUAAGAAUGAGUGUCAAUCAAUCAAACACAAGGAAAUUAAAUGCUCACUGUUUCUCAUAGUGAUUGUUGUGUCGUGUAUAGGUCAAACUAGUGCUGCCCUUGUCUACUUUUGAGGCAUCAACAUGUGUUGCCAUGGUUUUGGUUUUGGUUUCCGGUUGAUGCAUGGUUGGUGUGCUAGCUGUUCGUUAGUACCUGCUGGUUGUUACUAUUGCUCUUUUGAGUCAGUUUCCCUGCGUGAGACAGAUUUCUUUCUUGAUGUACCAAUCCUCAAUUAAUGCCUCAUGAAGCUCUUUUUGUAUGCAACCUUCUGUUCAAAUAUUUGUACUCCCUCCGAUCCAUAUUAAUUGACGCUAGUUUAGUAGAAAAGUUUAACUUUGUACUAAACCAACGUCAAUUAAUAUGGAUCAGAGGGAGUACAUGAUUUUGAUUUACGAAACUUACAAAUGAUUUGCAAGUUGGACUGGAUGUUUUUGAGAAGAUUUCUUGCUGUAGGACCUGGUGCAUGUCUUCUGAAAUCUGACUAGGAGACGUAUUCUUCACAUCUAAUCAAGAUUUGUUUGUUUGAGAGUUCUAAAGAAAGUAGGAAUGUUCCUGUGCUUUUCCGAAACAGAGUUAGAGUGCUCAAGCGUGCGCCAAGGUUCUAACAUUUUCUCGAACGCUUUGUGCUGGUAUGUAUGUCACAUCUUGCUUCCAUUGCAGUCUCAACACCCACUUUGCGUUUCUGCAAUCACUAAUUAUACUCCAGUUUGGUGGGUUCCAAAUGUUGUUGUUGCACAUGUAAAAGAAAGGGAUUCAGGCUACACAUCUACCUUCUGGAUGUAUCUAUCUCACUGCCUUUUGCUGUUCCACUCUGGUUUUGCUUACUUUCUAAAAUGUGUGUUUUAAUAAUAAUGUUUAUAAAGGCUGGAGAUGUACCAUUUCUCUCACCUCAGCUUCUUAUCAUUGCCGGACAUAUGCCCCCUUCUUUUGGGUGAUGGUGAUUUCAUAUUAAUCAUGGAAUAAAAUAACAUGCUACGGGAGCAGAAACUAUUCACUUAACUAUUUAAGGCCAAGAAGUAUAAAUCGAGGCACCUCCUCUCCUCUCCUCCCGUUGAUGCUUGAUUGUUACCUAGAAUAAAGAUUGUUUUCAGGAACAUGAAAGUAUUACCGUUUGUUAGGACAUGAUGACUGUUUGUUUACUGCUUUAUGAUUUUGUGUAGAGUUGCGUCCUCCUUGUCCCCUUUUACCCAAGGCCAUCUUGUUGUGUCAAUGGUUGUGUUGCCGUUUCAAGUUUUGUGUAUGUGCAUAUGUACAUAGCAGUAGACUAGACUGUUGUGAUCGUAUAUUACCACCGUCCCUUCUUAGAUUUAUCUAGAUACGGAUGUAUCUAACACUAAAACGUGUCUAUACAUCCGUAUCUAGACAAAUCUAAGACAAGAAUUUUGGGACGGAGGCAAGGUUUUCGUGUUGUCGAGUCGUUCUGGGGUAGCGACUCUUGACGAGUUGUGCCUGGCUGAUCGACUAGUCUCUACUAGUUGAGAGGUUGAGUCGACAUCUGGCAGUGCGGCUCGUCGACUAGUCGCGUGGAUGGAGUACUUGCUUUGCAGCCUGACAAGACAAUAUUGUGUUUGCUGGAAACUGAACUCUCUUCUAUGUUUGGUUGAUGCAGUUCCUUCCAUUAAUUUAUUUGUUUCUUCGAUUUGGAUGCAACAUGUUCCCUUCAUGAACGAGGACAUGGGCAUGUACCUCGACGGUGAGCUCAUCCAUCACUACCACCUCGACUCUGUGCGCAAGGUGUUGUGUGUCCUAGAAGAUGGAAGAGGAAGAAAACUUAUUUUUGUUGAACUAAAUUUUCUGUAUUCUGUUUUGUUGUACGUAUCAUUUGAUAGUUUUGUAUAGGAACAAGUGAUACUAUUUUAAAGGGCUUUAUGGCCUGUGAUGUAAACAUAUUUAGUGCUGAAAUAUGAAAUUAUUUGCAAAAUUUGUCGAAAAGGAGGAUCAUUUGUAUGAAUAUGUGAAUGGGCUGAAAAGAGUAUUGGACCAA